UUGCUGUGUUGUUUGUGAGAUCCUGCACCAAAAAGAAAAACUGCAGUUAUCUGGUGUUAGACUGAGAAGAAGAAGAAAAAACAUGAAUGCAAAUGCUUGGAAGACUGAUAUUACUCAGGGCUCAGCUUAAAUGUAAUUUUUCCGGGGAAAGAAAAGCCUGCAGAGAAGUGGCUCGGACACUGUGCUCGACAUUUGCUCUUUGUCAGGAGCAGCAGAGAUAUGGAGUUGGUAACUUUGAGACUUUGAUAGCUGACUUUUAACAAAGCACAAGUGGUUGCCUUGAGAUUGGGCGCUUCAGUGAAUAAAUCUUAGAAAUGCCAAGUGUGAUUAAAGUGCUGCAGUGUCUCUGUUUGCUGCACUGUCAUUAUUGAGACAAAGUAUGUAGUAUCUGUGUCAUGUCACAGUGUUUAUAAUAAUACAUUUAAUUUCAAAGCGCUUUUUCAGGUGCUCAAAGACGCUUUACAGUGGUGAUAAAACGAGAUAAAAUAGAAUAAAACAUAUUAAAACAGCAACACAACAUAAUUUACAAAUUAAAAGCCAAUCUGAAUAUUCUGUCUUACAAAAGCAGACUAAUGGAAAUAUUCAUUUGACCUAAAUAGUGUGUCUGGUUAAAUCAAAUCUUUUAAUCUGUGCUGAAAUAACAAGUUUAUCAACAUAACGCAUACCAGUAGCAUUUUAAUUGGUGGAUUUAUUUUUGUCAAGUAGUGCAUCACGAAGAAAUGGCAAAUAUUUGUUCAAUUAUUUUAUUCAUUAAGUAUCCUUAUUCUAAAUAUUGUCUAAAUUAUUCGAUUUUUAUUUUCUUGUGAAAUAUUGUAAUUUAUUGUGUAUAGAGUAAUUGUCUUUGCCCAUUUAGACUAUAUAUUGUUUAUUUUAACUUUUAGCAUGACUGUGUUUUUAAGAAUUUAAGAAAGCGACGGGCGAUUGUCUCCGCCAGUCUAAGUGAUCAUCAAUGGAAAGGGGACAACUCCAAGAAGGCCAGGGCCACUCUGUUACCUGCGGCUCCACGUCCAGGAUGGAGACCAUGUCCUGCUGGUGGAUCUGCCGGAUGGUCUCAAGCCGGGUGCCGUACAUGGCGUCCUCGUGGCUGCCGUACUCCAGUACAAGGCUCAAGACCCAAGUACUCCAUGCGCCAGACAGAAGAUAUCCAGUGCUAAGCACUGCCUCUGGGAAUCAAUAAAGAUGAACUAUAACUGCA